rnacentral:lncRNA from 1 species
AAAAUAAAUAAAUAAAAAUAAAAAAAAUAAAUCUGACAGAUAAAAAAAAGUUGCCGUAUAGACUGUCAAGUGUUUCUCAAUGUGAAGUCCAUACUGCUUUCUCUUGGUAAGCAAUAAUAUAUUUUAAAGUAAACACUGGGAUGGUUAAUCCAGUCAGCCAGGCAUUUGGUAGGUCUCAUAGCCUUCAUAUAGGUCAGUUUUCUUAAUUUCCUUAUUCAGAAGAUAAUUUGCAGAGGCAUGUAUGUGCCUGCCUUAUAAUACAGUCUAUGACUCAGUGUAAGUGCAUCAAAAAUAAUCUAACAAACAUGUCAGGCCUGGUGCUGAGUUUUCCCAGCAAGUUAUUAAAUAGAGAGAAAUCUCUGUGGCAGCAAAGCAGCUGGGAAGUGGGACAAAGGUGCCAUGUCAGCUACCCUGGCUGUGCACAGGGAAGCACCCACUGAAAGGAGACCAGCAGGUCACUGUCCUAGAUUGAAGGGUUCUGGGGUCCCAGGUUUAGAAUUUCAGGGAACCUUUGUAGUAAAAUCAGGUGACUUAGAGGUCAUGAUCUGUCUUGAUAUUGUUUACUGGUGAAGGUAACAAUCUAACAGGCAUCCCUCACGUGAACCUGAUGUCUGGUUUUCUUCAGGUGAAUGUUUAGUAUUCUGGAGCAUGUUUGUGUGGAUAUGCAUUUGCAUACGUACAGGUAUGGUUUUCUGGAUGUACACAUGUACUGACAAGGCUGGAUGCACACAUGUAUGUGUACUGUUUCCUAUGCUACUAGCUCGAGCAGCGCCAACACAGAUGUACAGAAUUUAGGUUUAACUGCAGUAUAUCAUGUAAUACAAUAUUAUUAUAAAGAAAACCAGGCUAUUCAAAAAAUGGUAGUAUUGUUUAGAGAUUGCAGAAAAUAUUAUCAUCAAUAAAAUGUUUUGAAGAACA